rfam:Candidatus Endomicrobium trichonymphae strain CET450 CET450_Contig1496, whole genome shotgun sequence.
GAAUCCGCCUUUAAUGACAAAGAACUAGAAGAGGAAAGAAGACUUAUGUAUGUGGGAAUGACAAGAGCUAGAAAACGUUUAUAUUUGUGCUGGUCGACAGA